rnacentral:rRNA from 1 species
CGACCGGAUCGGGGGAUCUCGAAAGCCUGUCCCAGUUCGGACUGGAGUCUGCAACCCGACUCCACGAAGUUGGAUUCGCUAGUAAUCGCGCAUCAGCCAUGGCGCGGUGAAUACGUUCCCGGGCCUUGUACACACCGCCCGUCAAGCCAUGGGAGCCGGGGGCGCCUGAAGUCCGGGACCGCGAGGACCGGCCUAGGGCGAAACUGGUAACUGGGGCUAAGUCGUAACAAGGUAGC